GGAUGAACGCUAGCGGGAGGCUUAACACAUGCAAGUCGAGGGGCAUCACGAGGUAGCAAUACUUUGGUGGCGACCGGCGCACGGGUGAGUAACACGUAUGCAACCUACCCUGUACAGGGGGAUAACCCGGAGAAAUUCGGACUAAUAUCCCAUACAAUUAUUGGAGGGCAUCCUUUAAUAUUUAAAGCUCAGGCGGUACGGGAUGGGCAUGCGGAACAUUAGCUAGUUGGCAGGGUAACGGCCUACCAAGGCUACGAUGUUUAGGGGACCUGAGAGGGUUAUCCCCCACACUGGUACUGAGACACGGACCAGACUCCUACGGGAGGCAGCAGUGAGGAAUAUUGGUCAAUGGGCGCAAGCCUGAACCAGCCAUCCCGCGUGAAGGAAGAAGGCGCUAUGCGUUGUAAACUUCUUCUCCAGGGGGUGAAUAAUUCCGAUGUAUCGGGAGAUGACGGUACCCUGGGAAUAAGCAUCGGCUAACUCCGUGCCAGCAGCCGCGGUAAUACGGAGGAUGCGAGCGUUAUCCGGAUUUAUUGGGCUUAAAGGGUGCGUAGGCGGAACAAUAAGUCAGUGGUGAAAUUCUGCAGCUUAACUGUAGACUUGCCGUUGAUACUGUUGGUCUUGAGUAUGGUCAAGGCAGGCGGAAUGUGUAAUGUAGCGGUGAAAUGCUUAGAUAUUACACAGAACACCGAUUGCGAAGGCAGCUUGCUGGGCCAUUACUGACGCUGAUGCACGAAAGCGUGGGGAUCGAACAGGAUUAGAUACCCUGGUAGUCCACGCAGUAAACGAUGAUCACUCGCUGUUGGCGAUACACAGUCAGCGGCUAAGCAAAAGCAUUAAGUGAUCCACCUGGGGAGUACGGCCGCAAGGCUGAAACUCAAAGGAAUUGACGGGGGCCCGCACAAGCGGAGGAACAUGUGGUUUAAUUCGAUGAUACGCGAGGAACCUUACCUGGGCUUAAAUGUAGAGUGCAUGAGGUAGAA
rnacentral:rRNA from 1 species